UCUCCAGACUGGACCUACAUGACCUCAAACUUCCUACUGAAAUGGUACCUGAUACAGUAAAGCAACAACACGGCGAAAACAGAGCAGGCCAUCCCUCCGAGACCCAUGCUGAUGGUUGAGGACAGAUCCACUCCUGGAACAGAAAAAGAAGAGUUUGCGUGGAAACCAAUUUGAAUUUCUGACCUGAAGUGAUACAGUGGUUAAACAGCUGUGCAGCCAGCAGCUAGAGAGUGUUUUGGAUGAGCAGCAUUAGUUGACCUUUAUUAGCGAUGAUAUAAACAAUCCAAGCUAAACAAAUAGAAGUUUUCUGGAGGAUGUAUGCAGGACUGUGUUUAUUUGUAGGGUCCUUGAUUAAAAACCAAAACAUCUAGCAUGGACUGAUUCCUCACCCCCUGAGCAGAUGACUCCGGGAGUAAACCAGCAGGAGGAGUCUUUUCUGGGUUUGUAGCCGCGAGGGAAGUGGAUCUCUCGACCAAGGUUUCCUCCGGACAUCCACUCCCCAGAUUGCCGUACCCGAUGCACUGCAUGAGCCGUGAAGAGGAUGGAGCUGUAGAUCGUGCCGAAGAGAGGAGACACCUGCAGGACAAAUGAACAGACUUGCUCAAUGGCAUCCUAACUGUUGGGUUGGAUACCAUGGACGUUAGAACUGAUAUGGCAGAUGAAGCUGAGAUCAGCAGCAUACCUGCAGCACAACAUAGUCGAACGUAACAGCGUAGGACAGCGACGGGUCCCUGUUGAUGCGGUUGACGGCGAGCUGUGCCGCCACGCUGGGAAGGGCCUUGGCAAAC